CCUACGGGAGGCAGCAGUGAGGAAUAUUGGUCAAUGGACGAGAGUCUGAACCAGCCAAGUAGCGUGAAGGAUGACUGCCCUAUGGGUUGUAAACUUCUUUUAUAAAGGAAUAAAACGAGGCACGUGUGCCUUUUUGCAUGUACUUUAUGAAUAAGGAUCGGCUAACUCCGUGCCAGCAGCCGCGGUAAUACGGAGGAUCCGAGCGUUAUCCGGAUUUAUUGGGUUUAAAGGGAGCGUAGAUGGGUUGUUAAGUCAGUUGUGAAAGUUUGCGGCGCAACCGUAAAAUUGCAAUUGAUACUGGCAGUCGUGAGUACAGUUGAGGUAGGCGGAAUUCGUGGUGUAGCGGUGAAAUGCUUAGAUAUCACGAAGAAACCCGAUUGCGAAGGCAGCUUACUAAACUGUGACUGACAUUGAUGCUCGAAAGUGUGGGUAUCAAACAGGAUUAGAUACCCCUGUAGUC
rnacentral:rRNA from 1 species